CAUUUGGGAGCGAUGCUCUUCAAAUACUUCAUCACCGGCCCUCUCAGUUCCACUGCAGACGCUUGCUGACCUCAUCGAGUGACCUCACCAAUCACAGAUCAAAGUCUUUGGGUUUCUGGCUGGUCAGGUUAAUCAGCGGACCACCCUGGAAAACCAAUCAGGUAAUUGAAUAAAUUCCCAGAGCUCUGUGUGGAAUUAGAAGAAGCGAGACUUUGGUCAGUGGAGAGCUUUUAAGAAACCAGGGAACGUACAUCAGAGGCCAAGCAGUCGAUGGUUGCGGUGUGUUUGUGAGUCUCUUGGGCGACAUCCAUCAGCUGAAUGGAUAGGGGCUAUGCAACAGCAGCGCCACAGCAAACCGAGGGCAGGGCGUAUUCCCUUUCCAAAAUCCACAGAAACACCGGUCUGGAAUCAAUCUGCUAUCUCACUACUUGCCUCAAAACACACACAAACACACACAAUUUAAUCUUUAACCCUGGUGAGACUGGUCCAUGCUGUUUUUCAUCCCUGUAAGUUUAUGCGCUGUAAUAUUGUAUCAGGUCUGGGAUAUGGUUCUCCGCUAGAUCUCUGACUUCACCUGCUGCUGAAGCUCUUUACCAGAGCACUGGGAGCUAACUGCUGCCAUAAAUAGUCAGAGGAGUGUGUACAGCCAUCUGCAGGGCAAAGAUAUAUCUCGACAGGAAAAGAGCAAAUCUCCUCUCCAUGCUACCUGCUGUAAAAGGUUAAACCUUCACAUCAGAGACAAGUUGAUUUUUGAAAAAGUAAAGAAAUAAAUAAAGAGAAGUAUGUGAGGUGUCUACGGCACACAUAAUAGAUUGCACAUGGACAGAGCAUUUACGCCAUGCCAUAAAUCAAGUCAGUCCAGCGUGCAGGAGUAUUGACAUUCAUUUUGAAUUUUUGAAGCCAUGUCUUUGAUUUUAUCUAACUUUUGAGACAGUUUGACCUGAGAAGAUAUUUCAAUCUAACCAGAACUGCAUGUCAUUGUGUUCUUGUGUGCAGUAUGUAUUAAGCAGUAUACUAAGUACAGUUUGACAUGAGUAGAGAUACAAACACAAUACACAAAUAGGGUUUAAAUAGCACAUGUAUAUGCACUAUUGAAAAUAAAGAAAGUUAGGUAAGGCCCAAGAUUGAUGAAGUGUAGAAGAAGAAAAGACACAUGUGUUUAUAAUGUCAGAUGGGCUCUGUAAAGUGCAAUGGGUGUAAUAAAAAAAACUAAAAUAAAUGGUGGAUUAUGAGAUAUUUUCAAUCCUCUGGUGACCAUGAAUGUACGUAAAUGUGUGCUACAUCUGAUGAAAAUAUGCACAUCAGAUAUGACCUGGUAUUUGUUUUUUUCAAGCAGAAAUGUUGGACCGAUAUCUAAAGGAUCACUAACGGAAAACCAAAAUGUCUGACCAAAAUCUUAAGACUCAUCCACAAAUAUCCAAAGCACAUUUAAUGGAAAUCUGGCAAUUAUAGUCUUGUGCUGGUUGUGUGACCGACCAACCAACAUCACCAGCAUUAGUCAUGAGUCAUGACACUAGAGGCACAAAAAAGAUUAUUUAUACAAAGCUAAAAACGACACAUUGUUCUAUUAAGGACUAUUAAAGGCAUCUGUAGCAUCUUUAUUGUUGAGCAAAAUCAUGUCUAUUUACCUAAAAGAAAAAGGAGGGUUUGAUUUCAACUAAUCGAUUAGAUCAGCGGUUCCCAAACUUU